UACGGGGGAUGCAAGCGUUAUUCGGAAUUAUUGGGCGUAAAGCGUCCGCAGGCGGCUGUGUAAGUCUGCUGUCAAAGAGCGAAGCUCAACUUCGUAAAGGCAGUGGAAACUACACGGCUAGAGUGCGUUCGGGGCAGAGGGAAUUCCUGGUGUAGCGGUGAAAUGCGUAGAGAUCAGGAAGAACACCGGUGGCGAAGGCGCUCUGCUGGGCCGCAACUGACACUGAGGGACGAAAGCUAGGGGAGCGAAUGGG
rnacentral:rRNA from 1 species